GCGCUAUAUAAGCGGAAGGCGGGAGCCGCCUCGCCCUUUCGGCGGGACGCGCGGCGCGAGUGGGAGCGGAGCGAGCGGGCGGGCUAGUGUUGUGGGGGUGAGGGGCGGCCCGGGCUGCUGCCCCCGGCGGGCAGGUGCCCCUUCCUGCGUCAUGUCGCUGCGAGGUUCCUGCUGCAAGACGGGCUCUGGCCGCAGCUCCUGGCUGUUGGCAGCCCCUGCUGCUCCUCGGGGCCGUGAGGAUGUGGCUGCAGCCAAGCGCAGCUCCUGUGCGUGGAGAGGAAGAGGAGGAAGGCCUGCACGGAGCCACAGAUGUUCCCUGUGCCUGCACAGAUGGAAGAAUGUGAGUUGAAGUGAUCUAAAGCCACGUGGCAAGUUGGUGACAUCACUGAGAGCAGAUUCUGGGAGUUGUAUGCCUGCAGCCCUGGCCCUCUUCCUCUUCUGAAGGUAAAAAACAUGCCUUCUCUGUGUGCUUCUAUUUCUUUAGCUUGCCUCUUGGACUGGGCUUCUCAGACUUCUGUCGGCAGUGAAACAAUAGCCAUGUUACCAGGCCUUGAAGAG
rnacentral:lncRNA from 1 species